rnacentral:rRNA from 1 species
UGCAAGUCGAGCGGACCGACGGGAGCUUGCUCCCUUAGGUCAGCGGCGGACGGGUGAGUAACACGUGGGUAACCUGCCUGUAAGACUGGGAUAACUCCGGGAAACCGGGGCUAAUACCGGAUGCUUGAUUGAACCGCAUGGUUCCAUCCUAAAAGGGGGCUUUUAACUACCACUUACCGAUGGACCCGCGGCGCAUUAACUAGUUGGUGAGGGAACGGCUCCCCCAGGGGACGAUGCGUAACCGACCUGAAAGGGUGAUCGGCCCCCCUGGGACUGAAACCCGGCCCAAACUCCUACGGGAGGGAGCAGUAGGGAAUCUUCCGCAAUGGACGAAAGUCUGACGGAACAACGCCGCGUGAGUGAUGAAGGGUUUCCGAUCGUAAAACUCUGGUGUUAGGGAAGAACAAGUACCGUUCGAAUAGGGCGGUACCUUGACGGUACCUAACCAGAAAGCCACGGCUAACUACGUGCCAGCAGCCGCGGUAAUACCUAAGUGGCAAGCGUUGUCCGGAAUUAUUGGGCGUAAAGCGCGCGCAGGCGGUUUCUUAAGUCUGAUGUGAAAGCCCCCGGCUCAACCGGGGAGGGUCAUUGGAAACUGGGGAACUUGAGUGCAGAAGAGGAGAGUGGAAUUUCACGUGUAGCGGUGAAAUGCGUAGAGAUGUGGAGGAACACC